CAGUCGCCGCGGGAAUACGGAGGGUGCAAGCGUUAUCCGGAUUCACUGGGUUUAAAGGGUGCGUAGGCGGAUCUGUAAGUCAGUGGUGAAAUCUCCAGGCUUAACCUGGAAACUGCCGUUGAUACUAUAGGUCUUGAAUUUUGUGGAGGUUAGCGGAAUAUGUCAUGUAGCGGUGAAAUGCAUAGAUAUGACAUAGAACACCAAUUGCGAAGGCAGCUGGCUACACAACUAUCGACGCUGAGGCACGAAAGCGUGGGGAUCAAACAGGAUUAGAUACCCGCGUAGUCCCUGUCUCUUAUAC
rnacentral:rRNA from 1 species